ACUGGUGGCUAUGGCGGAGGUGCAACACCCGUACCCAUUCCGAACACGGAAGUUAAGACCUCCAGCGCCGAAGAUACUCGGGCUAACCAAGCCCCGGAAAAAUAGGUCGCCGCCAGUG
rfam:Flexistipes sinusarabici DSM 4947, complete genome.